rnacentral:rRNA from 1 species
GACGAACGCUGGCGGCGCGCCUAACACAUGCAAGUCGAACGAGCGAGAGAGAGCUUGCUUUCUCAAGCGAGUGGCGAACGGGUGAGUAACGCGUGAGGAACCUGCCUCAAAGAGGGGGACAACAGUUGGAAACGACUGCUAAUACCGCAUAAGCCCACGACCCGGCAUCGGGUAGAGGGAAAAGGAGCAAUCCGCUUUGAGAUGGCCUCGCGUCCGAUUAGCUAGUUGGUGAGGUAACGGCCCACCAAGGCGACGAUCGGUAGCCGGACUGAGAGGUUGAACGGCCACAUUGGGACUGAGACACGGCCCAGACUCCUACGGGAGGCAGCAGUGGGGAAUAUUGCACAAUGGGGGAAACCCCGAUGCAGCGACGCCGCGUGGAGGAAGAAGGUCUUCGGAUUGUAAACUCCUGUUGUUGAGGAAGAUAAUGACGGUACUCAACAAGGAAGUGACGGCUAACUACGUG